CNACUCCAGCCGUAUGAGCAACCAGACCCUGAUAUCCAACCCAAAUCCCUUCCCCAGCAGAGACUGUCCUCCAGGAAAGCUGUCACAAAAAGUCUAGAAACCACUUGUGACCAACCACAACAUCACAAGCCAAUCAGAACACAGGUCAGCAUCCCAGAGACCACGGCAGAUCACCACAGAGCGCAGACAUCCUCUUCUCCAUCUCCACAGACUUCUGAUAGCAUAGAGGAGCGGUGGCUGGCCCCUCACCAUAAGAAAGACACAAGAGUCAAAGAGAAGACUGAACAUGAGAGACAUGAGAAGAAGAUUGCACCUUCAAGCCGAAAGAAAAAAUCUGAAAGACACGGUGGUGAGCGAGGCAGCAGUGCAGUGAGGGUCAGGCAUGCUAGGGGUCAUGAAGGGGUCAGUCGCAAACCGGAGGAGCCGAGUGGAAAAAGCAGGUGGCAGGAAGAGGGUCAAAGUUCGGCACGAGGAGGACUGUCUGGAAAUCAAGCUCCACCACCUUCCCCUAUACAUAAUGCUCUGGGACAGGUCGUCUCUGAGGUGCUUUUUGCUGGGACAGAUUCUCCAAGCCAGUGCAAGACUCCAAGUUCUUCAGAUUCCCCAGUAUAUACACCACCCCCACAGUCUCCUGUUGCUUCUUGUUCCGGCGUACAGCAACCCUUGGAGGUCAUAGGUCAGCUCAUGCAGGAUGCAGAAGGUAGGAAGACCUCAUACAUUCCCUUUAAACUAGCUGUAAAACUGUAUGACGACGUGUGUUUAACAGGUCACGCAAGGGUCGAGUGUUUUAGCCUGAACCUGUUAUAAAUAGCAAGAUUGACCCUUCAGAGUGUGCUUAGAACAACAGAAUGCAUGUUUACAUUUUAUGUAGAUGGAACUUUAUACACAGUGUACAUUGUGUACAUGUGUGUGUGUGUGUGUGUGUGUGUGUGUUUUAUUCUAAAUGUUUUUUUCAUUAUUAUUAUUAUUACUAUUAUAAUAAAACAAUCUUUUUUUUUUAAAAUAGACUACUU
ensembl:lncRNA